UUCUCUAUUUUUUUUUUUUUUUUGUAACAAACAUUACAUGAUGAAUUGGUUUCAGUGGAAUUCAAACGAUCUUGCUUUGGUUAUUUCUUAUCAGGAAUGCUGAAUUUUUUUUCUAGGAGUGAUGGCAGAACUGAAGGGGAGAAGGGGAGGCAUCUCUUGUGAGUCAAUUUAGCAAAAAAGGAAAUGGUGAAAUGAUCUUAAAUUAUUCCUGGGAAUAUAUUCUGGGUACUAAAGGGCACGUUGGUACUCUCAAAGAAUGGACACUUCCAGUUUUACCCAGUAAACCUCUGGUUGUACCUUAGGGCAACUUCCUUACUGUUUUUAUAUUUGCUGUCCAUAGAUAAGAGCUUCUGAAGGUCAUGGCACCCUUAGGCUCCCAUUAGCUGGGUGGGGGAAGUUCUUUAAUAUUUACCUAGUGUGCACAGCAUGCCAGGAACUCUACAGCAGAUAUAUGAAACAUGCCCAGCCUCUAGCUUGGACUGAGGAGGGAAGACGUCCCUGGAGGUGAGGUGUACCCUCUGCUCAUUCCAACUUCUGGAGUUUCUGGGGGAUACCCUAAGGGAUCAUAGCCAUCUUCAUCCAGUGUCUACACUACCCACCAUGGAAGUAUGUUUGUAUAAUACAGGCUGAGUCAGUCACAUGUUGAAAAAGAUACACUUUACUUCUUGGAAUAUUCUUGGAACAAUUUAAUUGCAUUUUGCCCGAAGACAAACUUGCUCAGAUAUAUUUCUUUUUGAUCCACACCUUGCCCUCCUCCACCUACCCCCCCCCCCCCCUUGGUAUAAAGCCCUCAUGUUUCUCUUCAUCUGCUCUAAACCCUCUCUGGGGAAAUUCUGCAUUUUAUUUUGGAGGUAUUCUUUUAUUCCAGAUAAAUGUCCAGGAAUAUAAAAAAAAAAAAAUGAAGUGAGCGAGGUACAAAAUGUAAAAAGCCCUCUUAUCCAAGAAUGAAAUGGGGAGUGGUGAAGACUGGGAUGAACUCCUAAGGCAGUUUCUAGUUAAAUCUCUGGCUAAUUGAAAAAUAAUAUUAAGUAUGGAACUCGUUUGUUUAGCCAAACAACGAAAAUAAAAGUGGAUGCAGUGCUCAUGAUAUAAGAAAACUUAUUUUUGUGGAGAUAGGGAUCCCUGGGUGGCUCAGUGGUUUAGAGCCUGCCUUUGGCCCAGGGCAUGAUCCUGGAGUCCUGGGAUCGAGUCCCACGUCAGGCUCCCUGCAUGGAGUCUGCUUCUCCCUCUGCCUGUGUCUCUGCCUCUCUCUUUCUGUGUCUCUUGUGAAUAAAUAAAUAAAAUCUUAAAAAAAAAAAAAAGAAAACUUUGUGGAGAUAAACGGAAAACCUAAUGGUGUGCUAGCCAGUGAGUUUUAAUUUCCCUGUAUAACUGCUAGUGAGUCCCAGGGCACAACUUGUGAGAUACUAAGUAUCCUCUAAAGAGAUUUUAGUCAGGCUUAAACAGUUUUCUUUUUGCCAGAACUUUAAUGGUCCUCACAUUUUAUAUCUGUUGCUAUUAUUAUUAAAUUUUCCAUACUGAAAAAUAAUUUAUUAAUAAUGACAUUUAUUUUAGGCAAGAUUUAGUCACAUGUCACAGAUACUCUGAAAAGGACAGUUAUAAAUUUAGGUUCUUCUUAAAACAAACAUUAUCAAAUAACCAAGAUAGAGCCUAAUCCAUAUGAUAUCCAUCAUCCUAGCAUCUUGUAAACAUUAAAUCACUGGUCUUCUAA
rnacentral:lncRNA from 1 species